CCUACGGGGUGCAGCAGUGAGGAAUAUUGGUCAAUGGACGAGAGUCUGAACCAGCCAAGUAGCGUGAAGGAUGACUGCCCUAUGGGUUGUAAACUUCUUUUAUAUGGGAAUAAAACGUUCCACGUGUGGGAUUUUGUAUGUACCAUAUGAAUAAGGAUCGGCUAACUCCGUGCCAGCAGCCGCGGUAAUACGGAGGAUCCGAGCGUUAUCCGGAUUUAUUGGGUGUAAAGGGAGCGUAGGUGGAUUGUUAAGUCAGUUGUGAAAGUUUGCGGCUCAACCGUAAAAUUGCAGUUGAAACUGGCAGUCUUGAGUACAGUAGAGGUGGGCGGAAUUCGUGGUGUAGCGGUGAAAUGCUUAGAUAUCACGAAGAACUCCGAUUGCGAAGGCAGUUCACUGGACUGCAACUGACACUGAGGCUCGAAAGUGUGGGUAUCAAACAGGAUUAGAUACCCUUGUAGUC
rnacentral:rRNA from 1 species